rnacentral:rRNA from 1 species
GAUCGGUACGGGUUGUGAGAGCAAGAGCCCGGAGAUGGAUUCUGAGACACGAAUCCAGGCCCUACGGGGCGCAGCAGGCGCGAAAACUUUACAAUGCGAGAAAUCGUGAUAAGGGAACCCCGAGUGCCCGUAAAUUCGGGCUGUCCGCCAGUGUAAAUAACUGGUGAAGAAAGGGCCGGGCAAGACCGGUGCCAGCCGCCGCGGUAAUACCGGCGGCUCGAGUGGUGGCCACUAUUACUGGGCUUAAAGCGUCCGUAGCUGGAUUGUUAAGUCUCUUGGGAAAUCCACCGGCUCAACCGAUGGGCGUUCAGGAGAAACUGGCAAUCUAGGGACCGGGAGAGGUGAGAGGUACUCCAGGGGUAGGAGUGAAAUCCUGUAAUCCUUGGGGGACCACCUGUGGCGAAGGCGUCUCACUAGAACGGCUCCGACAGUGAGGGACGAAAGCUGGGGGAGCAAACCGGAUUAGAUACCCGGGUAGUCCCAGCUGUAAACGAUGCGCGUUAGGUGUAUCGGUGACCACGAGUCAUCGAGGUGCCGAAGGGAAACCGUGAAACGUGCCGC